UACAGAGGUCGUCAAGCGUUGUUCGGAUUCAUUGGGCGUAAAGGGUGCGUAGGCGGCGCGGUAAGUCGGGUGUGAAAUCUCGGAGCUUAACUCCGAAACUGCAUUCGAUACUGCCGGUGCUUGAGGACUGGAGAGGAGACUGGAAUUUACGGUGAGCGGUGAAAUGCGUAGAUAUCGUAAGGAAGACCAGUGGCGAAGGCGGGUCU
rnacentral:rRNA from 1 species